GGUGGCAUGGUUGUCGUCAGCUCGUGUCGUGAGAUGUUGGGUUAAGUCCCGCAACGAGCGCAACCCUUGUCCCUUAGUUGCCAGCAUUCAGUUGGGCACGUCUAGGGAGACUGCCGGUGACAAACCGGAGGAAGGUGGGGAUGACGUCAAAUCAUCAUGCCCCUUAUGAGUUGGGCUACACACGUGCUACAAUGGACGGUACAAAGGGCAGCGAAGCCGCGAGGUGGAGCCAAUCCCAAGAAAGCCGUUCUCAGUUCGGAUUGCAGGCUGCAACUCGCCUGCAUGAAGUCGGAAUCGCUAGUAAUCGCAGGUCAGCAUACUGCGGUGAAUACGUUCCCGGGUCUU
rnacentral:rRNA from 1 species